rnacentral:rRNA from 1 species
UACGGAGGGGGCUAGCGUUAUUCGGAAUUACUGGGCGUAAAGCGCGCGCAGGCGGUUCUCCAAGUCAGUGGUGAAAGCCCGGAGCUCAACUCCGGAACUGCCAUUGAAACUGUUGAACUUGAGGACGAGAGAGGUGAGUGGAAUUCCCAGUGUAGAGGUGAAAUUCGUAGAUAUUGGGAAGAACACCAGUGGCGAAGGCGGCUCACUGGCUCGUAUCUGACGCUCAGGCGCGAUAGCGUGGGGAUCAAACAGG